AAAUUAUUCUGGUCUCUAGUGGAGUCGAUAGGUUUGGACUCGACUGAGUUGUGGGCUGAGUUCCUAACUUUCUUCAAUCCCAUCGAGCUAUGAAAAUUCAGUUGGAUGAGCUAGAGGCUCAAUAUAUCCCUCCCAGUCAAGAAUUAGAGGAGAUAAAGGGAUAGGUGGAGCAAUAUAAGGCCAAGGUCACAACCCAAGAAGAGCAGUUGUGUCUGAUGCAAUAGGAGUUAAAUAAGGCCAAGGUUGAGAUGACAUCCAUCAAAGGGCAGUUGGGUGAGUUCCAAGCCAGCAUGAAGAAAUUGGAAUCACAGACCUCCUAGAAGAAGAAAUGGCGGAGGAAGGCCUCAGCUGCAUUAGAGGCGACAAAGGCAGAGUCGGAAACUUAGAAGGCAGAGAUGAAGGUGAUGAGGGCUGAGUUGGAGGCGGGGAAGGCCGAGUUCAAGACUCAGAGGACUGAAAUAGAGGCCUUGAAGGUUAAUAUGGAAACCUAGAAAGGCAUGAUGGAAAGUAAGGAGGCGAAGCUCAAAGGCUAUUUGGUUGGAGGAGAGGGGCGCUAGUCCGCUAGGAAGAGAGAAUGCCUAUAGUUGGAAGAGUUAUAUGAUCUACUCGGCGACCACAUCCUCAAGAUAAUUAAGUAUCUUUAACGGAGUUGUCCGUCAUAUCCAAGAAGUCGGACACCUCCCAACCGACCUUCCCCUAAGCUUCAUGAAUCUGAGGAAUGUCUGUAAUGAUAUCCCUCUGGAGGACCUCACUAACUUAGAGUAAUCUUGUUUUAUUUUGACUUUUUGUAAGCCUCACCUUUUGUACUUGGUUAAAUUGAUAAUGAAAUUGAAAGGAUUUACUUU